rnacentral:miRNA from 1 species
CACUUCCUCCCCGGCUCCUCCAUCAUCCCUGCGGGGGAGGAGGGGGCGGG